CUAUAAUGCAAGUCGAGCGGAAGAAGGGAGCUUGCUCCCGGAUGUUAGCGGCGGACGGGUGAGUAACACGUGGGUAACCUGCCUGUAAGACUGGGAUAACUCCGGGAAACCGGAGCUAAUACCGGAUAGUUCCUUGAACCGCAUGGUUCAAGGAUGAAAGACGGUUUCGGCUGUCACUUACAGAUGGACCCGCGGCGCAUUAGCUAGUUGGUGAGGUAACGGCUCACCAAGGCGACGAUGCGUAGCCGACCUGAGAGGGUGAUCGGCCACACUGGGACUGAGACACGGCCCAGACUCCUACGGGAGGCAGCAGUAGGGAAUCUUCCGCAAUGGACGAAAGUCUGACGGAGCAACGCCGCGUGAGUGAUGAAUGUUUUCGGAUCGUAAAGCUCUGUUGUUAGGGAAGAACAAGUGCAAGAGUAACUGCUUGCACCUUGACGGUACCUAACCAGAAAGCCACGGCUAACUACGUGCCAGCAGCCGCGGUAAUACGUAGGUGGCAAGCGUUGUCCGGAAUUAUUGGGCGUAAAGGGCUCGCAGGCGGUUUCUUAAAGUCUGAUGUGAAAGCCCCCGGCUCAACCGGGGAGGGUCAUUGGAAACUGGGAAACUUGAGUGCAUAACAGGAGAGUGGAAUUCCACGUGUAGCGGUGAAAUGCGUAGAUAUGUUGAAUAAACUCCAG
rnacentral:rRNA from 1 species